UGUUUGACGACCAUAGCGAGUUGGUCCCACGCCUUCCCAUCCCGAACAGGACCGUGAAACGACUUAGCGCCGAUGAUAGUGUGGAUUACCCAUGUGAAAGUAGGUCAUCGUCAAACGC
rnacentral:rRNA from 1 species